rnacentral:rRNA from 1 species
GUCCUUUAGAAAUAUAAUUUAAGGUCUAACCUGCCCACUGAAAAAUUUAUUUAAAUGGCCGCAGUAAUUUGACUGUGCAAAGGUAGCAUAAUCAUUAGUUUUUUAAUUAAAAGCUUGUAUGAAGGGUUGGACGAGAUAAAAUCUGUCUCUAAAUAAUAAAUUAGAAUUUAAUUUUUAAGUUAAAAAGCUUAAAUUUUAUUAAAAGACGAGAAGACCCUAUAGAUCUUUAUAUUAGUUUUAAUAGUUUUAUUAAAGAAUAUUUUAUUUAUUAUUAAUAUUAAUAUUUUAUUGGGGUAAUAGAAAGAUUAGAAUAAUUCUUUUUAAAAAUUUACAAUAAUAAUUGGUUUAAUGAUCCAUUAAUAAUGAUUAUAAGAUUAAGUUACCUUAGGGAUAACAGCGUAAUUUUUUUGAAGAGUUCUUAUCGAUAAAAAAGUUUGCGACCUCGAUGUUGGAUUAAAAAUUAUCUUAGGCGCAGAAGUUUGAGAUUUUGGUCUGUUCGACCAUUAAAUUUUU